rnacentral:rRNA from 1 species
AUUGAACGCUGGCGGCAUGCCUUACACAUGCAAGUCGAACGGCAGCACGGGAGCAAUCCUGGUGGCGAGUGGCGAACGGGUGAGUAAUAUAUCGGAACGUGCCCAGUAGUGGGGAUAACUGCUCGAAAGAGCAGCUAAUACCGGCAUACGACCUGAGGGUGAAAGGGGGGGAGUCGCAAGACCUCUCGCUAUUGGAGCGGCCGAUAUCAGAUUAGCUAGUUGGUGGGGUAAAGGGCCUACCAAGGCAACGAUCUGUAGUUGGUCUGAGAGGACGACCAGCCACACUGGGACUGAGACACGGCCCAGACUCCUACGGGAGGCAGCAGUGGGGAAUUUUGGACAAUGGGCGCAAGCCUGAUCCAGCAAUGCCGCGUGCAGGAAGAAGGCCUCGGUUGGUAACUAGCUUUGUUC